AGACGAGAGUGGAUAAGUUGGGGUGAUAAUUUUCCUACUCAAAAUACAUGACGUAGCCCAGGUCGUAAUAAACUGGCACAGACGAACCGAUAAACUCUGACCCCUGACGUUGAUUCUUACACGGCAUCAAAGCGAUGAAAAAACUAGGCGCCGUCGAAGCUAGAUUAUGCUAGUGAUAUUCACGCCACCUCCAGCGGUACUCCGGAACAAAUAAAAAUGUUUCCAGAAGACAAGAAGAUGUGUGUUCAAG